GUCAAUGUACUUGACAGACCUGUAGGUGGCAGUGUUGAUAGAACCACUGUUGGUCUUGAUGUGAAAUGUAAAUUAUUGUGAAUUAAACCUGAAUUUGAGCCUGUGCUGGAGUUUCAUUUAUGGUUUAUGGUUAUGUUUAACCCCGUAAGGACAAAACUUCUGGAAUAAAAGGGAAUCAUGACACGUCACACAUGUCUUGUGUCCUUAAG